rnacentral:rRNA from 1 species
CCUACGGGAGGCAGCAGUGGGGAAUAUUGCACAAUGGGGGAAACCCUGAUGCAGCGACGCCGCGUGAGUGAAGAAGUAUUUCGGUAUGUAAAGCUCUAUCAGCAGGGGAGAAAAUGACGGUACCUGACUAAGAAGCCCCGGCUAACUACGUGCCAGCAGCCGCGGUAAUACGUAGGGGGCCAGCGUUAUCCGGAUUGACUGGGUGUAAAGGGAGCGUAGACGGUGAUGCAAGUCAGAAGUGAAAGCCCGGGGCUCAACUCCGGGACUGCUUUUGAAACUGUGUGACUGGAGUGCAGGAGAGGUAAGCGGAAUUCCUGGUGUAGCGGUGAAAUGCGUAGAUAUUAGGAAGAACACCAGUGGCGAAGGCGGAUUACUGGACGAUAACUGACGGUGAGGCGCGAAAGCGUGGGGAGCAAACAGGAUUAGAUACCCCAGUAGUC